GAUGAAGAACGCAGCGAAAUGCGAUACGUAAUGUGAAUUGCAAAUUCAGUGAAUCAUCGAGUCUUUGAACGCACAUUGCGCCCCCUGGUAUUCCGGGGGGCAUGCCUGUCCGAGCGUCAUUGCUGCCCUCAAGCACGGCUUGUGUGUUGGGCCCCGUCCUCCGAUCCCGGGGGACGGGCCCGAAAGGCAGCGGCGGCACCGCGUCCGGUCCUCGAGCGUAUGGGGCUUUGUCACCCGCUCUGUAGGCCCGGCCGGCGCUUGCCGAUCAACCCAAAUUUUUAUCCAGGUUGACCUCGGAUCAGGUAGGGAUACCCGCUGAACUGAAGCAUAUCAAUAAGCGGAGGA
rnacentral:misc_RNA from 1 species